CCCCCCUCGGCUUCCAGCACCUGAAGAUUGUACCUUAGGAAAGAAGAGUGUCCAGCCAACUCCCUUUCAUGGGCAGCUCACUCUGGUCUCUCAGCUCUGAAACCUGAGCUUGCCUGUUUCCAGUGUGGGAUUUCUGAUAAAUCUCACUUCUCUCACUAGGACAAUGACGUGUCUUUGGCCAGGGAUGAUGGCAGGCACAUCUCUAAGGCGGCCAGACACAUGUUGGAUGUCAGUAAAAAUGGUAGGGAAUGGAACUUCAAAGUCACUGUGGCUAUUUUCCUCCCCUGGCCCAUCCAAGGACCACCCCCUUCUACUGGCUUGCUGGGACAGAGGAUGGCGGAACAGAACAGGCCUUCUUCAUACUCUUGCCCACCUCCUGGUCCAGGUAAGUCAUCCUUAUGACUUGGCUUUUGUCACUGAGCCCUCAGAAAAACCUUCUUGGACCCCAUAUCAAGACUGACUUCCUGGGGCGGGGGGACCUGAGUUCAAUCCCUGGUUCCACAAAAAAAAAAAAAAAAGACUGACUUCCUGCUGUGGAGUCCUUUUCAUCAUUCAUGGCGUCUUUUGUUUUCAUGAGACAAGGUCUCCCUAUGUAGCCCAGGCUGGCCUUGAACUCAUGGGUGAUCUUCCUGCCUCAGCCUCCCAAGUGCUGGGACUACUACAGGUGUAGACAACCACGCCUAACCCAUUAUUCACAAUUCACAUCUUAUGCAUAACCACCUUUGAAACCACUGGUUAAAAGGAGCAGGGUAUAUAUUUAUCCUGUUAAGCUUCUUCCCAGCUCCUAGCACAGGGCUGAUUUGA